AGAGUUUGAUCCUGGCUCAGGACGAACGCUGGCGGCGUGCCUAACACAUGCAAGUCGAGCGAGAAAAUCCCUUCGGGGAUGAGUACAGCGGCGGACGGGUGAGUAACACGUAAGAAUCUGCCCUAUAGUGAGGAAUACCCUCGAGAAAUUGAGGUUAAUACUGCAUAAGUCCCUGCGGGGAGAAAGGCGUCUUUUAUGUC
rnacentral:rRNA from 1 species